AGACAAAUAUGGCCGAAUUCCAUAAAUGAGGAUACGGGGAAAAUACAAAAAACAGGGGUGAAUCCUGUUCUGCCUUAAAGGAGGUGUACGGCGUUUCAGGUAGGGAACCCUCUUUCCGAACCCGUCAGCUAACCCCGGAGGCCAAAAGGAGGGCAUAU
rnacentral:sRNA from 2 species